AUGAAAAAAGAUGGGGAUAUGAGGAAAAUAGUUACUAAGAUAGUCAAAAAGUCUGGACAGCUACCCCUAGCUAUACUCACAAUAGGAGGCAUGCUUGCCACUAGAGGGGUUGAUGAGUGGGAGAAUAUUUAUAAACAGCUCCCCUCAGAGCUAGAGAGAAAUGGGAGCCUUGAAGCAAUGAGGAGGAUGGUUACUCUGAGUUACAAUCACUUGCCUUCUCAUCUUAAGUCAUGUUUUCUAUAUUUAAGCAUAUUUCCUGAGGAUUUUGAAAUCAAAAGGAGGCGUAUGGUGGAAAGAUGGAUAGCCGAGGGGUUUAUUAUUGCCAGGAGUGGGGUGAGUGUUGAGGAUGUUGGGAAUAGUUACUUUAAUGACCUAAUCAACCGAAGCUUGAUUCAAUAA
rnacentral:rRNA from 1 species